AGUGUGGAUUGUGACAUAUUGCUGGACC
rnacentral:piRNA from 1 species